AGACAGGGUUUCACCAUGUUGGCCAGGCUGGUCUUGAACUCCUGACCAAGUGAUCCACCCACCUUGGCCUCCCAAAGUGCUGGGAUUACAGGCGUGAGCCAUCGCACCAGAGCGAGACUCCAUCAAAAAAGGAAGGAAGGAAGGAGGGAGGGAGGGAGGGAGGGAGGGGAGGGGAGGGGGAGGGAAAUGUCCUGAGCAUAUCCCACAUGCUGAGAUCCUCCAGUGUAUGUAUUCUAGAAGUUAGAAAAUAUCUUAAAUCCUAUAAAAUGUUUCAGAUAGAUUGCUUUCAAGCAUCGUGACUCGUGACAUCAAAAUUAUCGUACAUGCACUUUUCCAUUAUGUUCUUCACAAAGGCUCACCUCUUUUCCAUAAGCCACCAUGCCCAGUCCACAAACCAAAUUAUUUUUAAUGUUCAACAGAAAAGAAAGGUAGCAACAAGUUCCUUAUUUUUGUUAAUUCCUUGUUUCUUGUAAUAAAGAGUAUCACUUCCUCUCACCAAAAAGCUAUAGAGCUUCUGAUGAAAUUCAACUGUUCAAAAGGUUUACCUCUUUGAAACAAAAAGUUUAUGUAGGCCUAUAUUUAUUAGACAAAUUGAAUCAGUAAGUAAUAACCUUCCAAAAAAGACAGUACCGGGACCAAACGGCUUCACUGGUAAUUUAUUAACCCUUCAUCUGGAGAAGUGUCACUUAAACCUGUCCCCAGCAAAAAUCAAAUUUAGGAACCUUUUAUUUAUUUUAUUUUUUUAGGCUGGUCAACUGAAGCAGUGGGGCAAAAUUGAGAAAAACAGUCUUGGCACAGUGGCUCAUGCCUGUAAUCCCACUCUGCCACCAAAAAGUUUUGCAAAAUAUAUGCAGAAGUCAAAAGCAAUGGCUUUUGAAAUUUUUAGAAAAUGAACACAAUUACUAGAAACAUUUUAUUUUAGUGAUCAUGGCUCACUGAAGCCUCAACCUCCCGGGCUUAAGCAAUCCCCAUUGUAAUGGGUGUGUAGUGGUAUUUCAUUGUUUUAAUCUGCAAUUUCCUAAUGGCAUAUGAUGUUGAGCAUCUUUUCAUAUGCUUCUUUGCUAUCUAUAUAUUUUCUUCAAUGAGAUGUGAGUUGACAUCUUUUACACAUAUUUGAAGCAAGUUGUUUGUUUUCUUAUCACUGAGUUUUAAGAGUUAUUUGUAUAUUUUGCAUAAUAGUCCUUUAUCAGACAUGGUUUUUUUGUUGUUGUUUUUUUGUUUUUAUGAGACGAAGUCUCACUCUGCCACCCAGCUUGGAGAGCAGUGGUGCAGUCUUGGCUCACUGCAACCUCUGCCUCCUGGGUUCAAGUGAUUCUCAUUCCUCAGCCUCCCAAGUAGCUGGGAUUACAGGCAUGCACCACCACACCUGGCUAAUUUUUGUAUUUUUAGUACAGACAGGGUUUCACCACGUUGGCCAGGCUGGUCUCAAACUCGUGACCACAGGUGAUCUGCCUGCCUCAGCCUCCCAAAGUGCUGGGAUUACAGGUGUGAGCCACUGCACCUGGCCUAUCAGACAUGUUUUUGAAAAUAUUUUCUCCCAGUCUAUGGCUGGUCUUCCCAUUCUCUUGAUUUAAUUUUUAAAAUGAACAUUAGAAAGCAACUUAGGACAGUAUGUCUCUAUAGAAAGAGGGCAGAUUUUCAAAUUACUCACAAAAGCACAUGACCAGUUUUGACAUUUAUAGUCAGGGACACCUUUCUGAGGUAUACCUCCAUAGAAAUGAUAGCAGCAGCGACUCAUCUAAAGUGGCCAUUGCCAAGAUGCCAGCUACAGCAGGGAGGCACUGGGUAGUUCCUUAAAGGAAAAUACGAUCCAUGGAGCAGGCAGGAGCCCUGCCCUUCGGCUGCAGACCCAGGGGUCUCUGUGCUCUUGGGAGCCCAGAGCCAGCUCUCUCCCAGAGCCCCCUGCCAGCACCUGUUCCUGCUGCCUGGCUUCUCCCACUGUCAGCUCCUGCUCUAAUCCUGGAGCAAGGUUGGAGCCGAGCCCCGGCAUUGUUGCAGCCCAGCCAGGGGGCUCAUGCUCAGGGCAGUGCUGACACACCAGCCCCCAGCCACAUCAGUCCCCUCCAGACUUUGGGUGAUGAGGAUCAUGGGAGGGAAGCCGAGGGGGACUGCACGUAGCUCAACACUGGCCUGCAGGCACCUCUUGGCACAAACAUCCUGGGUGCCAAUGAAUGGCCGUGAGAGGCAGACAGGCUCCUGGGAGGAAGGGGGUGGGUCCCCAGUGAAGCUCCACUUUCAGGCCAGGGAAGGUCCUACCAGUCCUGCCCACCAGAGGGGGAACUUGUGGUGCUUUUUCCUGAGCCCACCUAUUGCUGCCCAUGGACCAAUCAGCAUAUACUUUCCCCACUCUGAAUGAAAACCAUAAAAACCCCAGACUCAGCCAGAGCAGGGCAGACAUCAGGAUGGCCAGCUGCAUAGAGGAACUACCAUCUCCGCUGAGAGAUGAACAUUUUUGGGGAUGACCUGUCAGCAGAGAGGAGCCAUCCACUCCAGGCCUCCUCUCUGCUGAGAGCUGCACACUCGAUGGGACGACCUGCCCACAGAGAGGACCUGCUCACCGCGGGUCUCCUCUGAGCUGUUCUGACCCUCAGUAAAGUUCUUCUUCGUCUUGCUCACCCUCCACUUGUCUGCAUACAUCACUCUUCCUGGACAUAGGACAAGAACUUGGGCAAAGGCACCACCACCCACAGAGGUUUCCAGCCAGAAAAGCAGCACCUCAAAUAUCCCAAGAAAAGAAAUAGCAAAGGGCUAAAGUCAAAAGAUUUGUUUCAAGCCCAGCUAAGAUAAUCAUUAGCUGUAUUAGAUUUUUGUCUAACCAACUAGCAAGUAGAGAAGUCCAGACCUUCCUAAACAAACAAAGGAAGUUUUGAUCAACUGAGCUUGAAAGUCCGGGGGCUGCUCUGGCUUCAAGGAUUUCUAUGUCUUCUCCUCAGCCAA
rnacentral:lncRNA from 1 species